rnacentral:rRNA from 1 species
AUUGAACGCUGGCGGCAGGCCUAACACAUGCAAGUCGAGCGGAGCGGCGGACGGGUGAGUAAUGCCUAGGAAUCUGCCUGGUAGUGGGGGAUAACGUCCGGAAACGGGCGCUAAUACCGCAUACUAUCAGAUGAGCCUAGGUCGGAUUAGCUAGUUGGUGGGGUAAAGGCCUACCACGGCGACGAUCCGUAACUGGUCUGAGAGGAGGAUCAGUCACCAAGGAACUGUAACACGGUCCAGACUCAUACGGGAGGCAGCAGUGGGGAAUGUUGGACAAUGGGCGAAAGCCUGAGCCAGACAUGCCGCGUGAGUAAGGAAGGUCUUCGGAUUGUAAAGCACUUUAAGUUUGGAAGCGUAACCAACAGAAUGAGCACCGGCUAACUUCGUGCCAGCCACCGCGGUAAUAC